GACGAACGCUGGCGGCGUGCCUAAUACAUGCAAGUCGAACGAACCGCGACUAAGUGCUUGCACUAAGUCAAGGUGAGUGGCGAACGGGUGAGUAACACGUGGGUAACCUACCUCAUAGUGGGGGAUAACAGUCGGAAACGACUGCUAAUACCGCAUAGGACAUAGGAUCACAUGAUCCAGUGAGGAAAGGUGGCGCAAGCUAUCGCUAAGAGAUGGACCCGCGGUGCAUUAGCUAGUUGGUAGGGUAAAGGCCUGCCAAGGCGAUGAUGCAUAGCCGACCUGAGAGGGUGAUCGGCCACAUUGGGACUGAGACACGGCCCAAACUCCUACGGGAGGCAGCAGUAGGGAAUCUUCCGCAAUGGACGCAAGUCUGACGGAGCAACGCCGCGUGAGUGAAGAAGGUCUUCGGAUCGUAAAGCUCUGUUGUUAGAGAAGAACAGCGCAUAGAGUAACUGCUAUGCGUGUGACGGUACCUAACCAGAAAGCCACGGCUAACUACGUG
rnacentral:rRNA from 1 species